rnacentral:rRNA from 1 species
GACGAACGCUGGCGGCGCGCCUAAUACAUGCAAGUAGAACGCUGAAGAGAGGAGCUUGCUCUUCUUGGAUGAGUUGCGAACGGGUGAGUAACGCGUAGGUAACCUGCCUUGUAGCGGGGGAUAACUAUUGGAAACGAUAGCUAAUACCGCAUAACAAUAGGUGACACAUGUCAUUUAUUUGAAAGGGGCAAUUGCUCCACUACAAGAUGGACCUGCGUUGUAUUAGCUAGUAGGUGAGGUAACGGCUCACCUAGGCGACGAUACAUAGCCGACCUGAGAGGGUGAUCGGCCACACUGGGACUGAGACACGGCCCAGACUCCUACGGGAGGCAGCAGUAGGGAAUCUUCGGCAAUGGGGGCAACCCUGACCGAGCAACGCCGCGUGAGUGAAGAAGGUUUUCGGAUCGUAAAGCUCUGUUGUAAGUCAAGAACGAGUGUGAGAGUGGAAAGUUCACACUGUGACGGUAGCUUACCAGAAAGGGACGGCUAACUACGUGCCAGCAGCCGCGGUAAUACGUAGGUCCCGAGCGUUGUCCGGAUUUAUUGGGCGUAAAGCGAGCGCAGGCGGUUUGAUAAGUCUGAAGUUAAAGGCUGUGGCUCAACCAUAGUUCGCUUUGGAAACUGUCAAACUUGAGUGCAGAAGGGGAGAGUGGAAUUCCAUGUGUAGCGGUGAAAUGCGUAGAUAUAUGGAGGAACACCGGUGGCGAAAGCGGCUCUCUGGUCUGUAACUGACGCUGAGGCUCGAAAGCGUGGGGAGCGAACAGGAUUAGAUACCCUGGUAGUCCACGCCGUAAACGAUGAGUGCUAGGUGUUGGAUCCUUUCCGGGAUUCAGUGCCGCAGCUAACGCAUUAAGCACUCCGCCUGGGGAGUGCGACCGCAAGGUUGAAACUCAAAGGAAUUGACGGGGGCCCGCACAAGCGGUGGAGCAUGUGGUUUAAUUCGAAGCAACGCGAAGAACCUUACCAGGUCUUGACAUCCCGAUGCUAUUUCUAGAGAUAGAAAGUUACUUCGGUACAUCGGUGACAGGUGGUGCAUGGUUGUCGUCAGCUCGUGUCGUGAGAUGUUGGGUUAAGUCCCGCAACGAGCGCAACCCCUAUUGUUAGUUGCCAUCAUUCAGUUGGGCACUCUAGCGAGACUGCCGGUAAUAAACCGGAGGAAGGUGGGGAUGACGUCAAAUCAUCAUGCCCCUUAUGACCUGGGCUACACACGUGCUACAAUGGUUGGUACAACGAGUUGCGAGUCGGUGACGGCAAGCUAAUCUCUUAAAGCCAAUCUCAGUUCGGAUUGUAGGCUGCAACUCGCCUACAUGAAGUCGGAAUCGCUAGUAAUCGCGGAUCAGCACGCCGCGGUGAAUACGUUCCCGGGCCU